rnacentral:lncRNA from 1 species
GGGUGUGGUUCACGCUUUCUACUUGCCUGGAACUCUGGGGCUGAUAGAGCUCCAGGCAAUAGAGGCACAAUGGAGCUUCUAUUGAACGUUUAACGCCUUACUGACUGACUGAGCUAUAGGCGAGGUGAAGGCUGCUCUAUUAUCAGACUUUAUGGCAGCAGGCAGCCUAUAUUGAGGGAUGAUUUCAUUGCGUAAAAACUUAACUACUGUGUUGGUGGUUUCGUUUUCGGUAGCAAAUGCCUUAGUCUAUCUGGAGAAGGUGUCUACUAGUACUAGAAGGUAUUUGUACUUAGCCUGGUGUGGUUUGACUUCUGUAAAGUCAAUUUCUUACUUUUUUCUCGGCGAGUUUUUUCAGAGACAGUGGCCUGGGCUGGGUUUAGGACUUUGUUUGGCAUUUACUUGGGUGCAGGUUGUGCACUGGAGAGCGGCUUAAUCUGAUAGGCUUUGAAGACGGGGGAUCUUAAAAUGGCUCCGGAGGAGCUGAGGUAGCUUUGCUCUUUUUAAGUGGGUGGUAGACUGCAGGUGACUGAUUAAAGUUUCUUUAAGAGUUCAGGAUAUGAAGAUUCUAGAGUCAGGAAGAAUCUACUAACUUUCCUGAUUUUUAUUGGCUCUGAGAUCUGAAGCCAGUUUUUUUGUUGUUGUUGUUGUUGAGUAUACGGGAUUGUCAGGCAGAUCUGGCUGAGGAAAGGAGACUGUGGGCAGCAAGUUUAGAGGCGUGACUGAAAGUUGCGCUGCGACCUGAGCUGCUGAAUCAGCUUUCUAGUUACUAUGGGCAAAGCCGUGUUUUCUUUUUGAUGUCCUUUGCAGUGGAUCACAGCUAUCUGCUGAGACAGACAAGGGGAGGGGCUCCUGUGAUGGGAUCAGUCAGAUGCCUGCCUGGCCGCUCCCCCUGAGGGGACUUGGGCUCCUCUUAACAUUGGCAGGCUGGUAUAAACUUCCGGCUCAGAUCAAGCUAUGCCUGAUGCUGCCUUAAGCCUUAUGAGGUCGCCACGGAACCGCAGAAACUCCUGGAGGGCAGAGCUGUGUCUGCCAUCUUCAUCAUUGCAUUACCACCACCAAGCACAGUGCCUGGCACAAAAGAGUUGCUCAAUAAAUAAAUCAGGAUGAAUGGAUAAAUACAUGGAUAGGCACUUUGAGCUACAGAUGAGUUUAAAUACUUUGUGUUUUUCUUAGUCAAACAUGUGCAAUUAAGCAUGUGAUAAAUGAUAUGAUGACCACA